rnacentral:hammerhead_ribozyme from 1 species
AUCCAUCUGACGAGUUCUAAAUAGGACGAAACAUGCAUCCUGAAU